UCACGAAUUAUCUCAAUUUCUUGGAAAUUUCAAAUAUUUCCAACAUAACUUGACAGUAACACAAAUUGCUUAUUAAAUGGAAAAAAAUCAAUAAAUAGACAUAAAAAGGGGGUUCAUAGAAUAUAUAUAGGAUAAAGGUGCCCUUGGAGAAGCUGAUAUUCACAAACGAGAAAAAUUCGAUCCAAUAGGGAAGUAACUCAUCGGAAUUGGUGGGCUUUUCUUAGCUUUGCUUUCCUUCAAUUUAGCAUUACUAGCAGUGUUAGCUUUGAUCGACGACGGUGAAACCUUCUCUCGUUGAGAACCAGAGAAACAACUGAAGAAACUGAUCAAGAGAGCCAUGAAAAAAUUAGGGUUAGCUUGCACAACUUUGAGGACUGAUUCUUUUGCAAGAGGCAAGUACUAGUAGUUGUUUGUUGGAACAUGAUAUUGUUGGUGGUCUGGUCUCUUUAUAUAUAUAAGCAGGCUGUUGGGUUUUGAGAGAGGAAAGGACAUGCAUGGAACCUGGACUGAUGUUGUAGCUUUCAGGUUGUUCUUGGUGUCUUCGAGGAAAGGGAUAAGGUGUGUGGUGUUUCAUGCGUGGUGAACAAGCAUGAAAAAGAAAAGGUUAAGUUGAAAUUUCAACACAGUGCUCAUAGUUGACUAUUAUCAUCUUUGUAAUUAAGUUAGCAGCCUAUGUAAACCAUUUCAAAUUCAAUGACGUCUACAUAUAUAAAAUUAUAAAUUUUUGGAGGGCUAGGUUAAAAAAUUUGUGUUGUGUUGUGUUGUGUGUCACAGGACUAAAACUUAAAUUUUGUAAACUCCGCAGCUUUAGCCAGAAAUUUAGCUUUAAAUCUGCAGAAGUCAACUUAACUGUCGAAAGUGAGAAUUUAUAAAAAAAAUUCUUUAAGUCACCGAAAUAAAGUGGAAGUAAACUCAAAGCGGAAAAGUAACUAAAGAACCAAAAAAGCGAUAAGAACUUUGAAUGAAAUGUUUACAAAUGAGGGAGAACGCCUCUAUUUAAAGUUGAACUCUCCCAAAUUCAAUAAUACUGUCUAAAUUACAUCAACGGUUAAAAUUAAAGUCUAUGUACAAGAUACUAUGCUUGUAGAUUUUAUCCGCAUUUUCCAAUUACAUCGUUUUUAGUAUUUUUUUAUUUAUUUUGAAAUUUCAUUUUUAGCAGGGCAAAGGGAGGGGCCAGACAAGGACAUUGGCCACCUAAAAUUAAAAUUUUUUGUUUUAGACCCUGUAAAUUUAUAAAUUUAUAAGUUAAUUCACAGUAAAAUUAUAGUUUAGCUCCCCAAAAUAAUAAAAUCUCAAUUUAGUCUCUCAAAAAGCUGUGAAAAUAUAAGCCAAUACAAUGGUGAAAUCGCAUUUUAACUCCCAUAAAAAUAUAUAACAUAAUCUCGUCUCCAAAAAAUUUGUCUAACUUCUCCCUGAUUCUUAGUCUUUAAGCUUUUUUUAAUUGAACCAUUUCAUUUGACAAUCAAUUUAAUUGACCAAAGUAAGUAAUGUUAAUUUGAUUUAAUUAAAUCGAUAACUAAUUAAUUUGCAAGUUGAUUGAUUCAACAGAAUAUUCGUUGGGUUAACUGAUAAGACAGAUUACCCUCCCCUAAUUGAUUCGCAUCAAAGAACUUUGAAAACUAUGGAAGUGCAUAGUUCAGCCAAAUGCUAAGGACCUAGUCAAUUCAUUCAGCCAAAUUUUCCAACAUAAAUUGAGCUCCACACACUUUGAGUUAUAUAAAUUACAUCUUCAAAUAUCAACUUAAUAAUAAAUUAAAAUGUGCUAUGGGUACUUAUACUCUUUAAUUAUUUAAAAUUUAAUCCCUUUCAAAUUUAAAAAUACAAGUUAACGGAUCCUUACAUUAGAAGACGGUGGGCAUAGAAAGAGGAAAACAUUAAAUGAUAUUCAUCGGGUAUCUUGCUAUUCAUCGGGUCAUGACAAGAUGAAUUAAAUGAUAUUCUUUACUAAGCCAGGGGCGAAGGUGUAUGACUCUCGUAAAAUGAAAAAUUGUUACUUUAAUCCUCAAAUUUUAUAAAAUAUUAAAUUAAUAUACAGCAAAACUAUAAUUUAACUCUUUAAAAAUGUUAAAUUUCUGCUGCCCAUACAUAUCAUUAUCCAAAUACUUAAUCUAAAAUUGAGAUGUUUUGCGUUUAGAUUAUUUUAAUUUGAAGUUCGAAUUUUUUCGAAUUGUAUCGGUAUAAGUUUUACUUUAAUUUUUUAUCAUUAUAAGUUUGAGUUGAUAUUAUUUUCGAGUUAAUUUGAAUUUAUUAAAUUAGAGGAGUAUGAAUAAUGGAUGUUUCUUAAUUAGGUUUGGUCUUGAACUUACAUUAAUCUGAUUUUAUCUAUAAUAAUUUGCACUUAACACACGUUCUUAAUGAAAAAAUACAGCGACACAUUUGAGUUAUAAAAAUAAUUUUUCCAAAUAUCAACAAAAAUGAAAUUUCUUACAAAAGAAUACACUAAACUCUAACAGUAGAUGUCCUAAACAAACAUUAUUAACAUUGUCGAAGAUGAAAACAAAUUAAGACAAUUCUCAAAAGAAAAAACAAAGAGUUGAUUAGAAUACAGAGAAAACGUGCUCUUAAAGAAGCUGACAUGCAUGUAAGCAUCUGUUUCAACUCCAACAUCGGACUUGAGACCAGUCUGUCUCGGGACAUGAGCGUUUAAAGGAUGGAUUCCAACUUAUACUACUUCGACCAACAGCUUUCAUAACAGGGAAAGUUUUGAUCCGAUAGGGAAGUAAGUAAUGGGAAUAGGAGGGUUGUUCUUAGCCUUGCCUUCCUUCAAUUUAGCAUCACUACCUGCUUUACUAACGGUUGAUGAUGAUGGUUGAGUGUCUUCUCCUUGGGAAGCUACCUUAUUAGAACCAGAGAAAAAACAAGCGACGAAACUGGUUGAAAAGAAAGCCAUUGAAAAAAGAUUACACAACUUUGAGGACUGAUUCUUUUGCAAGAUACAAGUACUAGUAGUUGUUUGUUGGAACAUGAUAUUGUUGGUGGUCUGGUCUCUUUAUAUAAGCAGGCUGUUGGGUUGUGAGAGAGGAAAGGGCACGCGUGGAACCUGGACUGAUGUUGUAUCUUUCAGGUUGUUCUUGGUGUCUUCGAGCAAAGGGCUAAGAAGGUGUGUGGUGUUAUGCGUGGUGAACAAGCAAGAAAAAGAAAAGGUUAAGUUGAAAUUUCAACACAGUGCUCAUAGUUGACUAUUAUUAUAUUCGUAAUUAAGUUAGCAGCUUAUGUAAACCAUUUCAAAUUCAAUGAC
rnacentral:lncRNA from 1 species